rnacentral:rRNA from 1 species
UCAGUUCGGAUUGCAGGCUGCAACCCGCCUGCAUGAAGUCGGAAUCGCUAGUAAUCGCGGGUCAGCAUACCGCGGUGAAUACGUUCCCGGGCCUUGUACACACCGCCCGUCACACCACGAAAGUUGGUAACACCCGAAGCCGGUGGCCUAACCCUUAGGGGAGGGAGCUGUCGAAGGUGGGACUGAUGAUUGGGGUGAAGUCGUAACAAGGUAUC